UGACCUCAAAUCAGGUAGGAUUACCCGCUGAACUUAAGCAUAUCAAUAAGCGGAGGAAAAGAAACUAACAAGGAUUCCCCUAGUAACUGCGAGUGAAGAGGGAAGAGCUCAAAUUUUAAAUCUGGCAGUUCUUGUGACUGUCCGAGUUGUAAUCUAGAGAAGUGUUUUCCGCGCUGGACCGUGUACAAGUCUCCUG
rnacentral:rRNA from 1 species